rnacentral:lncRNA from 1 species
GCCCGCUACGGCAAUCUGUACGAAAAUGGCUGCUUCGCCAAUAUCUCCGCAAUCGCUCGUCGGAUCGUCAAACUGUUCGCGUCAACGCGUUCGUUAAUAGGGCAAAAAGAGAUCAAUCCCAAGAUUGAACUCCAAAAUCACAAAACCCUAACUUUAGCCCCCUCAACAAUAUCAUCUUCUCCAUAUCAAGUCUGUCGGAUCGUUGGCGCUAACCAUUAAUCCCAAAAGCUCGAGCUGUUAGAAAUACGCAACCAAUUCACUUAAAGCGUACAGAAACAGCACCCACGGGUCUCGAUUGUGACUCGGCCCACCUGGCCUCACGCCACUUCGAACAUGACUCGGCCCAACCCAGCCACACGCCAUUUCGAACAUGACUCGGCCCACAUGGCCUCCCGCCACAGGGCAGGAUGCUGGCCUAUUUAAGCCAACAAUCCCCCCUCCAGCACCUGCACACAUUUGCAGCAUGCAAGAAUCGAACCCGUGACCUCUGGCUCUGAUACCACUUGUCGGAUCGUUGGUGCUAACCAUUAAUCUCAAAAGCUCGAGCUGUUAGAAAUAUGCAACCAAUUCACUUAAAGCGUACAGAAACAGCGCCCACGGGUCUCGAUUGUGACUCGGCCCACCUGGCCUCACGCCACUUCGAACAUGACUCGGCCCAACCCAGCCUCACGCCAUUUCGAACAUGAUUCGGCCCACAUGGCCUCCCGCCACAGGGCAGGAUGCUGGCCCAUUUAAGC